AUGCAAGUCGAGCGAGAAACACUUCGCGUGUGAGUACAGCGGCGAACGGGUGAGUACCAUGUGGGCAAUCUGCCCCAGAGAGCGGGACAACCCAGGGAAACCCGGGCUAAUACCGCAUGAUCCACCGAGACCUAAGUCUUUGUGGCAAAUGGUAGCUUCGGCCUCCGCUCUGGGAUGAGCCCGCGUCGCAUUAGCUUGUUGGUGAGGUAACGGCUCACCAAGGCGACGAUGCGUAGCUGGUCUGAGAGGACGAUCAGCCACACUGGGACUGAGACACGGCCCAGACUCCUACGGGAGGCAGCAGUGGGGAAUCUUGCGCAAUGGGCGAAAGCCUGACGCAGCAACGCCGCGUGUGGGAAGACGGCCCUCGGGUUGUAAACCACUUUCAGGGGGGACGAAGCCACUCAGGUUAAUAGCCGAGAGGGUGACGGUACCCCCAGAAGAAGCCCCGGCUAACUACGUGCCAGUAGCCGCGGUAAUACGUAGGGGGCGAGCGUUGUCCGGAAUCAUUGGGCGUAAAGCACGUGUAGGCGGCUUGGUCAGUUUGGUGUGAAAUCCCGGGGCUCAACCCCGGAACUGCACUGAAUACUGCCUCGCUAGAGUCCGGGAGAGGAGUUGGGAAUUCCCAGUGUAGCGGUGAAAUGCGC
rnacentral:rRNA from 1 species